rnacentral:rRNA from 1 species
GACGAACGCUGGCGGCGUGCUUAACACAUGCAAGUCGAGCGGUAAGGCCCUUUCGGGGGUACACGAGCGGCGAACGGGUGAGUAACACGUGGGUGACCUGCCCUCAGCUCUGGGAUAAGCCUGGGAAACCGGGUCUAAUACUGGAUAUGACUCCAUGACGCAUGUUGUGGGGUGGAAAGCCUUGUGCGGCUGAGGAUGGGCCCGCGGCCUAUCAGCUUGUUGGUGGGGAUGGCCUACCAAGCGACGACGGUAGCCGGCCUGAGAGGGCGACCGGCCACACUGGGACUGAGACACGGCCCAGACUCCUACGGGAGGCAGCAGUGGGGAAUCUUGCGCAAUGGGCGAAAGCCUGACGCAGCGACGCCGCGUGAGGGAUGACGGCCUGGUGUAACU